AUUAGGUAAAAGGAUUCUGAUUCCUUUUUCCAAGUUAUUUCAAUUAUGUAUGCCCAGUGGUUCUCUUGGGAUCCUAAAGAAUGGGGCAGGAGGCAUCCCCACAUAUAUCUGUGUUUGAAUGUCCCAUCUCCCUUUGAGAGCCUUUAUUAAGGUCUCGCUUAAUGUCUCACCUGGUUCGUGGGCUUGCCUGGAGAACACAGAGCUUCCUGAGGCCAGUAUGGGAUAUCUGAGACAACGGGUUUCAGAAGUCAAGAGUUGGGACUACAAGACUCAGCUACUCAUCCCCAUGGGAAGCUACUUCCUCUAUUCCCAGCCAUGAGUGUUUGAAAUAAAGGGUUAACUCAGAGGGCUAGAGGUGCUCAAAGUCUGCAUAUCCAGAGAAAAGUCUUGCUCUUGACUGGCUCCUAGGAAAUAACCUCCAAGCCCUUGGAAUAUCCUCCCUGAUAAAAAAGUCUUUGUAUACCUGGGGCUUUGAGUCAUGCCAGAUCGACUAUGCUGAAAAUGUAAUUUACCAUGUUUUUGUUCACCUGGGACCCUGGGCAAUGCUAUAUUCAUUUGACUUCUGUGGGGGCUGAAGAAUGAGUAGUGAAGGUCAGCAAGCACUCCAUGCCUACAAGACAGACCCCCAAUAAAAAUACUGGACACCAA